GUGCCUAUGGGACGCAGCAGUGAGGAAUAUUGGUCAAUGGCCGGAAGGCUGAACCAGCCAAGCCGCGUGAAGGACGAAGGUGCCAAGCAUUGUAAACUUCUUUUGUCAAGGGACAAAAUCAGGCUCGAGAGCCUGACCGAGGGUACUUGAAUAAAAAGCAUCGGCUAACUCCGUGCCAGCAGCCGCGGUAAUACGGAGGAUGCGAGCGUUAUCCGGAUUUAUUGGGUUUAAAGGGUGCGUAGGCGGGCUGUUAAGUCAGCGGUAAAAGCCCGGGGCUCAACUCCGGCGAGCCGUUGAAACGGGCG
rnacentral:rRNA from 1 species